rnacentral:rRNA from 1 species
AUGUACAUUCCUACAUCAUAGCGUUAAUGCAUAGGAUCCUAUUAGAACUCUGCAGUUAACCACACUUAGGCUAGAGUAGUACUUAGAUGGGUGAUCGCCUGGGAAGUCCUAUUAUUUUACAUG